rfam:Patagioenas fasciata monilis isolate BTP2013 Sc31e1R_4, whole genome shotgun sequence.
GAAGUGGCUUCACUGGAAGCCACUGAACAUAUCCUGAAAGUAAAAG